AUUGAACGCUGGCGGCAUGCUUUACACAUGCAAGUCGAACGGUAACAGGGAGCUUGCUCCGCUGACGAGUGGCGAACGGGUGAGUAAUAUAUCGGAACGUACCCAAGAGUGGGGGAUAACGUAGCGAAAGUUACGCUAAUACCGCAUACGAUCCAAGGAUGAAAGCAGGGGAUCUUCGGACCUUGUGCUCCUGGAGCGGCCGAUAUCUGAUUAGCUAGUUGGUGAGGUAAAGGCUCACCAAGGCGACGAUCAGUAGCUGGUCUGAGAGGACGACCAGCCACACUGGAACUGAGACACGGUCCAGACUCCUACGGGAGGCAGCAGUGGGGAAUUUUGGACAAUGGGCGCAAGCCUGAUCCAGCAAUGCCGCGUGAGUGAAGAAGGCCUUCGGGUUGUAAAGCUCUUUUGUCAGGGAAGAAACGGGAGUGGCUAAUAUCCAUUCUUAAUGACGGUACCUGAAGAAUAAGCACCGGCUAACUACGUGCCAGCCGCCGCCGUAACAC
rnacentral:rRNA from 1 species